rnacentral:rRNA from 1 species
UUGGGCCUACGGGACGCAGCAGUGGGGAAUAUUGCGCAAUGGGGGCAACCCUGAACCAGCAACGCCGCGUGAGGGAAGACGGUUUUCGGAUUGUAAACCUCUGUCCUCUGUGAAGAUAAUGACGGUAGCAGAGGAGGAAGCUCCGGCUAACUACGUGCCAGCAGCCGCGGUAAUACGUAGGGAGCGAGCGUUGUCCGGAUUUACUGGGUGUAAAGGGUGCGUAGGCGGGUAAGCAAGUCAGAAGUGAAAUCCAUGGGCUUAACCCAUGAACUGCUUUUGAAACUGUUUAUCUUGUGUGAAGUAGG